rnacentral:rRNA from 1 species
CACUCCUACGGGAGGCAGCAGUGGGGAAUAUUGGACAAUGGGCGCAAGCCUGAUCCAGCCAUGCCGCGUGAGUGAUGAAGGCCCUAGGGUUGUAAAGCUCUUUCACCGGUGAAGAUAAUGACGGUAACCGGAGAAGAAGCCCCGGCUAACUUCGUGCCAGCAGCCGCGGUAAUACGAAGGGGGCUAGCGUUGUUCGGAUUUACUGGGCGUAAAGCGCACGUAGGCGGACUAUUAAGUCAGGGGUGAAAUCCCGGGGCUCAACCCCGGAACUGCCUUUGAUACUGGUAGUCUUGAGUUCGAGGGAGGUGAGUGGAAUUCCGAGUGUAGAGGUGAAAUUCGUAGAUAUUCGGAGGAACACCAGUGGCGAAGGCGGCUCACUGGCUCGAUACUGACGCUGAGGUGCGAAAGCGUGGGGAGCAAACAGGAUUAGAUACCCGUGUAGUCCCAUGA